AUUUCUUACUGUGAUGUAACUUCCUGCCAUGAUGUUCUCACAUAAAGUGAGGAUUUGGAAAUACACACAUUCCUGACUGAACUGUUCCUGUGGCAGCAUGUACGUUUCGAAAAGGGUUUGGUGUGAGGAGUGGGGUUUGGUGUGAGAAGGUAAGAUUUGGUGUGAGACAGUGGGGUUUGGUGUGAGGAGUGGGGUUUGGUGAGAGGAGUGGGGUUUGGUGUGAGGAGUGAAAUUUGGUAUGAGGAGUGGGGUUUGGUGUGGGGUUUGGUGUGAGGUUUGGUGUGUGGAGUGAGGUUUGGUGUGUGGAGUGAGGUUUGGUGUGAGGAGUGGGGUUUGGUGUGAGUAGGUGAGAUUUGGUGUGAGGAGGUGGUUUUUGGUGUGAGGAGUGGGGUUUUGUGUCGGAGUUGGGGUUUGGUGUAAGGAGUGGUGUUUGGUGUUAGGAGGUGGGGUUUGGUGUGAGGAGUGGGGUUUUGUGUCGGAGUUGGGGUUUGGUGUAAGGAGUGGUGUUUGGUGUUAGGAGGUGGUGUUUGGUGUGAGGAGUGAGGUUUGGUGUGAGAAGUGGGGUAUGGUGUGAGAAGUGGGGUUUGGUGUGAGGAGUGGGGUGAGGAGUGGGGUUUGGUGUGAGGAGUGGGGUUUGGUGUGGGAGUGGGGUUGGUGUGGGAGGUGGGUUUGGUGUGCGGAAGUGGGAUUUGGUGUGAGAAGUGGGGUAUGGUGUGAGAAGUGGGGUAUGGUGUGAGGAGUGUGGUUUGGUGUGAGGAGUUGGGGUUUGGUGUGUGGAGCGGGGUUUGGUGUGAGGAGCAGGGUUUGGUGUGGGAGGUGGGGUUUGGUGUGAGGAGUGGGGUUUGGUGUGAUGAGCAGGGUUUGGUGUGGGGAGUGGGGUUUGGUGUCAGGAAUGGGGUUUGGUGUGAGAGGUGGGGUUUGGUGUGAGGAGUGGGGUUUGGUGUGAGGAGUGCGG
ensembl:lncRNA